GAUGAACGCUAGCGGGAGGCUUAAUACAUGCAAGUCGAGCGGCAAGGUCUUCGGACCCUAGAGCGGCGCACGGGUGAGUAACGCGUACGCAAUCUGCCCUUCAGUGAGGAAUAGCCCUGGGAAACUGGGAUUAAUACCUCAUAACAUUAUCUGUUCGCAUGGAUAGAUAAUUAAAGUUCUGGCGCUGAAGGAUGAGCGUGCGUCUGAUUAGCUAGUUGGUAGGGUAACGGCCUACCAAGGCUACGAUCAGUAGGGGGCGUGAGAGCGUGACCCCCCACACGGGUACUGAGACACGGACCCGACUCCUACGGGAGGCAGCAGUAAGGAAUAUUGGGCAAUGGAGGCAACUCUGACCCAGCCAUCCCGCGUGAAGGAUUAAGGCCCUAUGGGUUGUAAACUUCUUUUGUUGGGAAGAAAUCUGGACAUUAUGUGCAGUUGACGGUACCUUACGAAUAAGCA
rnacentral:rRNA from 1 species